rnacentral:misc_RNA from 1 species
GAAAUGCAAUAAGUAGUGUGAAUUGCAGAAUUCAGUGAAUCAUCGAAUCUUUGAACGCACAUUGCGCCCUUUGGUAUUCCUUAGGGCAUGCCUGUUCGAGCGUCAUCUAAACCUUCAAGCCCUGCUUGGUGUUGGGUGCCUGUCCCGCCUCCGCGCGCGGACUCACCUCAAAUCCAUUGGCGGCCCCCGCGUCGGCCACGAGCGCAGCAGAAACGCGAACUCGUGAGCCCGUCCGGGCGGCUCCCAGAAGCUACACCAACCCAGUUUGACCUCGGAUCAGGUAGGGAUACCCGCUGAACUUAAGC